rnacentral:SRP_RNA from 2 species
GCCAGGCGUGGUGGCGUGCGCCUGUAAUCCCAGCUACUCGGGAGGCUGAGGCAGGAGAAUUGCUUGAACCCGGGAGGCGGAGGUUGCAGUGAGCCAAGAUUGUGCCACUGCUCUCCGACCUGGGUGACAGAGCAAGACUCCAUCUCAA